CUGCAUCUCCAAGGAGUUCCCUGGAGCAUUUCUUAUCAGGCCAAAGGUGGAGCCUGCGGUUGGGGCAGCAUUGCUGGCUCGUAAUUUUUACAUGAAAGAAUUCUGCAAGGAGCUAUAGAAGUCCCAUUCUUGAAGAUUCGCUAGAGUCGACCCAAUUGUACAGUAGGACAACAUUGAGGUUUUCUAGCGUUGCCAAAACAUGAACACAUCGGACAGAGGAAACGACAGUUUGAGACGAAAACCGGUCCGAGUCUGGUGAAAGGGUUCAUAGGUUCCCUCUCCAUUCUUCUCUCUCUCUCUCUCUCUCUCUCUGAGGUCAUUCUUUUCAGCAGAUAGUUUUUCACUUCUUGGGUGAAACAUGCUGCAACGCUACCGUGAGUCCAUGAUUGGUGAAAUUGGUCCGUGUGCUUGUAUUUCUUUUGCUGUCGAUGAUUUAGUUUUGAUGCAUUUAAGCAUCCCUCUUGUCGCCAUGGCAGAGCAUUCUUGCUGAGAAUUUCGUUUACCUUGGGAAUUGCACUUGGCCACCGUUGGCUUUUCCGCUU